rnacentral:lncRNA from 1 species
CGACUCUCCGACUCUUGGAUUAAUAAGGAUCGUAUAUAUUACGGCGAUGAUUUCAAAGAGGAGAGAACGAUUCCCGAGUCGACACACGAGUUUAUUAACGGCGGUGACGAGAGUAGUGCCAACGGCUAGUCGUGCCAACCGACUCGAUGACAUGGCUAGUCACCUAAGACGCAAAUAGAUCGGGGGAUGGGACUGUAUAAUCUGCGAUCGAUAAUUCGCUCGAGCGUGAGAUUCUGCACAUUUCUCUCUCUCUCUCUCUCUCUCUCUCUCUCUCUCUCUCGAAUAUUCUUCCCGUAUUAUUAUAUUAUUACUCGUUCCAUUUUAUUCACGAUUUUCGACACGAACAAUUUCUCAAGUUUUUUUCUUUCUUUCAAUGGAAACAAUUCCAAGCAGUGUAGCAGUGACGCAAAACCGUCCGCGUUUCCGAUCCUAACCACGUACGAAACGUAAUCCUUGUACGGUAAAGUGUCCGUCACGCGACACGUCUGUCGAGUGACGGCGGCCAUUGUGGAAAAGAAGGUCGCGCGAUACGGAAGAAGGAAAACAAUCUCGCGAGAGGAGAUUUCUACCUCCUUCCUAUAUGUCGUCAUUUUUUUCUUCUACACGCACGCACACACGCACGUGUCGAUUACGAGCGCGGCUGUUUCAAAUUAUAUAUCGAUGCGUGUACACGAUCGAGUACUUUCCUUAUUCGAAACCGGAGGGACUCCAAUUCGAUCGACCGCGAUUCGCGACGACGACGACGACGACGACGACGACGUGAUUCAAUGUAAUUCAUUCCUUCCUUAUGACACACCGCGUAAUAAACUAUAACAACGAUCCGAAGUGUAAUCAAACCAUCCUUGCUAAUCCGAUGACGCGCGAUUUAUGAAAACUGAUCGUCGGAACAGCUAACGCGACUUCGAAUAACUCUUCGAUGAUAAUCGACGAUAUUUCCCGGAACGAAUUUCUCCGCUCCGUUCCAAUUAAUCUGUUUCUACCGAUGAAUACUUUUGUGGAAUGAAAAGAUCCGUGACGUGAAAUAAAAUAAUAGACACGAUACGAUAAAUAACGUGUUGUUUACUCGUUUUUUUUUUCUUUACAUUUAUCUUAUCUACGAGAGCAAAUAUUAAUAAAAAAAAAAAAGAAAGGAAAAAGAAGAGAAAAAAAAUCACCGAGGACGGUUGCCAAGUAAGUAGUAUAGUCACGCGCCGUUAAGUGUACGUUCAAGGUGCGCACACUGUGUAUACAUCAAGAGGCCAUUUGUAUUCGCGUAAUGCACGCCACCUAAGAUCAUUGCCUUAACGCCGUGUUUGCACGGUGAGCGCGUUAAAUCGUUUAUACAACCGAUCCCCUGUGCCGGCAACGUGGCGAAGAUACGCCGCAUAUUUCGGCCCCUCGAGGACGAUCGUUUCGUUGAAUACGCGUAGGCGUGGCAACGUGGUAGAUGACGCUCAUGCUCAACAACAAGUAUACGAGUAUCUCCUCCCGUAAAAUUUUUCGUGACCGUUAUACGAGAGAGAGAGAGAGAGAGAGAGAGUGGCUCGGUAGACGAAAGGCAAAGGUGAAGAAUUCCGAGAGAUCGAGGGACGUGCCUGUACUGCCAACAAUACCGGUCCGGGUACAAGUCGCAAAAUAGCCUUGGGUAAGGUCGGGCUAUUCCCCAAGGUCGGGAGUGUCAGCGAACCCAGCGCCACUCGACGGGGAAUAAAAAUUUACCGUCGAUAUCAAUUGCGGAAUAAUUCGUCGUUCGAAAUUUUGGCGCUUUUUUUUCCUUACACCGGCGAUAAUUCGAACCGAGUCAAACGAAUUGUUACACGUAACAAACGCGAUUGUAUUUAUGAAAAUGCGUAUUCUUAAACGAAUUUUUCUUAAAUUUAAAGAUUAUUACGCGAAGGACAUACAAGUCAUUUUUAAUCGUUUCUUAUAUGCGUAUUGUAUUUGACUCGAGCGGUGAGCAAAAAGUUGACCAGUCUCGUUUAGAGUCGUUGACGAGUGAAAAUGGUGGUCGCGUUUAACGUUUGCAAUAUUAAAAUUUAAAACGUUUGCGAUGUAACGAUGACAUAUGCGUGAACUUUUGCCAGGGCACAAUUACAUAAGAUACAGAGCGCGAUCGGUGGUCGUGUGAUCAAAUAUUACGCGACGGAUUCUCGUAAUGUGUUAAUUAGCCGCGAUAAACGUCUGGGGUAAUAAUACUAUGAUUUAGUAAUUUUUUUUUAGUAAUUUCUCGGGAGGGAAAAUAAAGCCACGAUAAUCCACGACCUAGGAAAUAAAAUAAUAAUAUUUCAUUGAAUUAUCGAUUUUUUUGUAUUCUAUCGUAUUAUUUAUCGCAACACAUACUAACUUCUAAGCAGUUAGAAAUAAUUUGUUGUUCACGUGUGCUUGUUAAAAUGCUCGAAUGUUUUCAUGUUGACUUUAUCGUUAGAAAACGUGCGAGUAUAAUCCAAGUGAUAGUUAUGUAAGAAAGCACGUGUGUCCCUGCAAAACGUGCCACGUGCUCUAAUGACACUAUCCGUUUAUGGAUUACAACGUAAAAAUAUUUAUUUAUUCAAGCUUCGGCAUUUAUAAUACAAAUACGAUUGUUUGGAUUUUUUACGCACAUACGUGCUGAUUAACGGAAAUGCAAUGUAAUUUCCUUUUUCGAACGAUUCUUUAUGCUAUGCAUUAUCAAUGUCGAUCAAUAUAUGAAAAGAAUUUAAAUAAAUUUAAUUUCCUUCGUGAAUCAUGCUUUACAUUGACAAUACUUUGUAAGUGAAAUUAACGAAGUAAUCUAUUUUCGUAAGAAAUAAAUGAUAUGAAAUAUUAUGCUCGUGACGUCACGACUUGCGCGCGCAUUCUUUUCGAUAAUCGAAAUUAAAAGAUCGCGAAAUUUCGAUAAUCGAACGAGUGUCAUGGUGGAAUUUCUAACGGGUGCCACAGCAUAGUGACGUUUGAUAAAAAAAUUUGAAAAACAACCGUUCUGCGUCUAAAUAUCCGUUCGUGUCGUUUAUAUUACGCGUAAGAGAAGUGCGUGAGAAUGAAAUUUAAUUAAUAAUAUGCGUUUAUUGUGUGAGGAAGCAUAUACUUUCCCUGGUAUUGUCUUCCAUCAAAGACACCUAAAUGAACAAGUAAGUUUUCUCGUAUUUUUCACGAAUUAUUUACGCAUGUUGUUUUUUUUUAACUCUUUUCUCAUAAUUAAUUUUCUAACGGAUUUUUAUUAAUAAUUAUAUAUCGGUUUAAUUUCUUAAUUAUCGAAAUAAUUUAAUUUCGAAAGAAACGAACGAUUUGUUUAAAGUUGCUUAUGACGUCACGCUGCAGAGCGACGCGCGCAUCUCUUCGAUAAUCGAUAAUUAAAGAAUCGCGAUCGAGUAAAAUUUCGAUAAUCGAAGGAGUGUCAUGGCGGAAUUUCUAACGGGUACCUUUGCAUAGUGACGCUUUGAUAAAAAAUUUGAGAAAUUACCGUUUUGCAUCCAAAUAUUCGCUUCUGUCGUUUAGAUUACGUAUACGAGAAGUGCAUGCGAGUGAAAUUUAUAAUAUGUGUAUUUAUCGUGUGAAGAAGGAAUAAACAUAUACUUUCCCUCGUACUACUCUUCUAUCAAAUUUCUUCUACGAGAGGUGAAUCUCAUCAUACUUUUUUUUAUUUUACGUUUGUCGAAUAAUUAACCUUUCAAGGAAUUCUUAUUAACGCUAAUAUAUUUAACUUCGAUAAGAAACAAAAUAUGCGAUUCGAGUAGAUUAGGAUAUCGAACUUGCAACUCGAUCGAGAGCGAGCGAGAGAAAGAAACGCGUUGGUAAGAAAGAGUAAGAGAGAAAUCGAAACGGCAAACUUGUGAAUUAACCGUUGAAACACGCGGGCAGAGUUACGUAAGGGUCUCGUUGCAUCGUGUACGCGUGCGUUUCUUCUAUCCACGUGCUGUACGCGCUCGUUAGAAGUGAAUGUCAGCCGCUUAUAUCGCGGAAGCCCCUUACCAUCCGGGUAAAUAUGCCGACGUAUAUACGUGAAUCUCUUCUAAUCACGUACUUCUGGCCGAGAAACGUGCCACUAUGACCUCGCACAGCUGUAGUUUUACAAUCUGUCAAGUCUGCUGCCUGCCUGUCCUUCCCUCUAUCGAUUAUAUUAUAUCUUAUACCUUAAAUUAUCUUCGCAUCGGCUGCGUCACGGUUAGUUAGAAACUGUUCCACUCGACUGUUUCUGGGAAACACGACCAAUAUCGACGUUUCAUAAUGCAGAGUCGGUAAUUACGCCUCUCGUAUUUGAAGAUAAUCUUUCCACAUUUUUCGCCAGAGGGCAGUAAUAAAAAUUUAAAAGAAACGUUGGAGACCUCGAUAUAUUUACGACGAUCACGUACAAGCCGCGUCACGGAAUAUUGUAUUACAUUUUCGCAUGGGAAAAAUUCAAUAGUUCAAUUUCGUUUCACUUAAAUUUCCCAUUCUUAUAAUUUUUCCUACAUAUUCGUGCUCUUUUUUAUUGUUAUAUAUCGUUGAAUUAUAUAUUAUAUAUAAUAUUAUAUAUCAUAUAUUGGACUCGCUAUAACAGGUGUUCUCUAUCAAAGAAUAACGAGACUCGAUAAACAAAGAAUCUUCGAAACAGUUUGAUAUUGAUGAGAAUUAAUUAGAUCUAUGAAUUUUGACGACUUAAAUCUCGAAUUGCAUCCGAUUGUUGGCAAAUAUAAUUUUUAUUACACGCUACAAACGAUAAAUGUUAGUUAAAAUAUUGAUAAAAAAAAAUAAAAAAUUCUCGAAAUUUGUGAAGAGCGCGGUUUAAUUUAUUAUUUAAAAAAAAAAAUGCACGAUAAAAUACACGGACGUAAUAAAGGCGAUUCAAAAAGAUAGAGUAUCGAGUUGGGUAAAAAUGGGUUCUUAAUUUCCGUUGCAAUGUCGAGAGGUGUAUAGUUAAGACACGAACCCCGCUCGAAAUUGAGCAAUCACCUGGAAUUUCACUCGCGAAGUUACGUAUACACGGGCUUGCGUGACUCACAUCGUCGCAGCCAGUUCUAUCGAUCCGACGAUUUUUGCCAGAGUGGAAAACAUCGCCCACAUAAAAUUUCUGUCGUGACGAAAUGCACGUAGACAGGGUGCACGCCAACCCACGUAUUUUAUUCUAUCGGGUAUAUGCCGCGUAUAUAUCCCGAAACGAUUACAAAUAACCUCUCCAAUUGAAUCAUCGAAUUUUCCAUCCACGUAACACGAGUCCACGAAACAUGUUACCGUGUUUUGAAAUCGGGCCCACAUGCACUUCCGCUUGAUUCUUUUAAUUUCGUCCAAUUCCGCCGCGUGACGAUUUCCAAGUAACAAAAGUUCCUUUCUAACCUAACCUAACCUCCAUCGACUAUAAUUUCAUUGCAGAGACAAAGAAGAGGAGGAGGGGAAAAUUACACUUCUGAUCAUCGGUAAUCGACCAUCCUAUCCGUAGUACAUACUUUCGAGGAACCGAAUCACUCGACUCGGGUACACGACACAUUCUCGUAUAUUCUUCGAACCAGUGUGUGACGUGUCCGGUCUGCGACUUUUGCGAUUAACGCAAACACAAUUGAGGGAGAGGUUUAAAAAGCAGCGUCGAGGCACGGUCAAAAAUAAUGUCCCUUGUGCACGGUCGUUUAACGAAAGGCGACGAAAAUAAGGAUGGUGGUUGCUCGCGCAAGAGAGAGAAACGGGACGGACGGAUAAAUCACGGCCGAGACGUAGUCGCAGACAAAAAUCGUAAAAGAACCGGGGAGGAGCACCCUUCUCGAUGCUCGAUUUUUCUUUCGUUCGUAGAUUUUGAUUUUCUUCUGGGAUUCUGUGAAUGCUCUUUCGACCGGAUAUUGAAAGAUGGAAGGAAAAAUGACCGAUAGAAAUAGAGGAGGAUAGAUAGAGAAAGUUAAGGAGAAGAGUUGAGGGUAAAAUAAUAAAGAUAAAUAAUAAGGUGAAAAUAAUAAAGGGAGCUUUUCUUUAUGGAUAAAUAAAAUGGUUUGUAGAUAAGAAAGGAAAUAAUAUAGAGAAGGUAAGAGGAUUUUAUUUGUUGAUUUGUGGUUUGAGAAAGAGAAAAGAAAUAACAAAAAGAAAUAGAGGAAUAAAAUGAAAGUAUUUUUUUUGAUUUGUGAAAUGUAGUAUAUUGAUAAAAAUAGGAAAUAUAAAGAAUAAAGAUUUGAUAAUUUUCAGCUUUCCAUUUAUGAAUAAGUGGUGUAUUGAUGAGAAAGAAAUGCAGAAGAGAGAGAAAAUUGUUGGUUUGUGACUGAAAAAGAAGUAGCAGAAAAAGAAGAAUUAUAGAUAGAGAAAGUUAGAAAAAUUGAGCAAUUCUUUUUUGUUUGUGAGAGGAAGAGAAGAAUUGAGAAUAUUUUUAUAAAAGUAGGAAAUAUGAAGAAUAAAAAUUUGGUAAGCUUAAUGAUUGUAAGAUUGAUGAGAAAGAAAUAUAGAGUUUUUGGUGAUUUGAAAAAGAGAUAAUAUAAAAAGAAGAACAGGAGAUAGAAAACAAUAGAAAAAUUAAGAUUAAAAGAUUAUUCUUUUUGAUUUGUGAAUUGAUGAGAGGAAGAGAAGAAUUUAUAAAAAUAGAAAGUGGAGGAUAAAGAUUUGGUAAGCUUUUUUAUGAAUAAGUGUCUUGAUCAAGAAGAAAUAUAUAGAGGAAAGAGUAAGUUAAAAAAAUUGACAGUAAAAGUAAUUCUUUUUAAUUUGUAAUGUAAAAGUAAAAAAUAUGGAAGAUAAAGAUUUAAUAAACUUAAUAAAUUUAUAGAUAUAUCAGUGAGGAAGAAAUAUAGAAGAAGAAGAAGUGUAGCAGAAGAUAAAUGAAAUAUGGAGGAUAAAGAAAAGUUAUUCUUUCCUGUCUAUGAAGCAGCUGAUGGAGCACAAACGAAUUUUUAACAUAAAAUUAUUUCUUAAUCCUUCGAUAUCGUUCCGUUAUUCGUUCAUAUACAGAUCUCGUGUUCGAGAAACGAAUUCGAUCGCUUGGAGUGGAAUUUCCAAGCCUUUUUCAAACGUUCGGCUUCACGACUCGCGACUAUUUUCGGUGAUUUUAUUCCUGUCAGGAGGAGGACGGCCAUCUCUCUCCGCUCCGUUUCAAACGCUUUUUUUUCGUCGCGUCUCGAUCUCUUUUUCCGAAACAUCUCAAAGGGCCAACCGCUUCUUCUUCCCGCGUUUCGACGCGACUUCGUCGCGACUGGUGAAAGCUUGCAACCUUGAUUUUAUAACAAAGGUUGCGGUAAAUGCGCUUCGUAACUCGUUGCCUCAUCGAGCAUUCAGAUUCUUUCGUUCUCUUUUCUUUUCUUUUUAUUAACUUCGCGAAUUAUCAUCGAUUAUUUAAAAUUAUUCUUGAUCGAAUUCAUUCAUCUCAGUUAUUAAAUCAAUAUCUCAUAAUUUUUUCCUCACUUUUCAAUUUUCAUUUUCAGAAUCUGUCUGAAGAAUUAUUUUAUUUGGGAAACGAGUUGAUUGAUAAAUCAAGAAGUAAAAAGCAGUUUUUCUUCUCGUAGCAGAAUUACGAUUAUGAUUAUUUGGAGGAGGAUCAGAAUGACGAAUAUUAUUUAUAAUAUUUUUUGUUCUUCGAUAAAUCGUUCAAAGUGUUGGAAAAUCGAUCUCGAUUGAUUCCAUCUGGUUCGUCGUUGUGGAGAGAUGGAUCGUGACUCGAUUGGUAUUGCGAAGAUAGCGCAAUGAGAAUGCAAAUAAGGAGAUACGCGUGCCUGUUAAUUGCACCCGAUGAUAUCGAGUCGAAUAAUAACAAUCGAGCUGCGCCUGAAGAAAACAAACUUUUUCAAUGAUAAUGCAACUCUUAAUAAAUUACGUUGGAAACGA